CUGCCUGUUUUAAUUCUUUUUAUAUUUUUUUAAGGGUUUUUUUUUUACAGAAAUACUAUUAUUUCUUUCUUUCUUAUUAGUUUUCUUUAUUUUUUCCAGUUUCUGCCUAUUUCAGGGUGUUCUGUUUAAGUUUUCUUUAGUUUUUUCCAGUUUUCUGCCUGUUUUAAGGGUUUUUUUUUUUUUUCAGAAAUACUAUUCCUGUCCUUUCUUAUUUUUUCUGCCUGUUUUAAGGUUUCUUUUUUAGUUUUUUUUAUUUUUAUUUUCAGAAAUACUAUUAUUUUUUUUAUUUUUUUUAGUUUUCUUUGUUUUGUUUUUUCCAGUUUUCUGCCUCUUUUGGUUUUUUUUGUUUAAGUUUUCUCUAUUUUUUUUUCAGUUUUCUGCCUGCUUUAAGGGUGUUUUUUUUUAGCUUUUUUUUUAGAUAGAUGAUUUUCUAUCAGUUUUCUGCCUGUUUUAAGGGUUAUACAUAUAUAUAUAUAUAUAUAGGUUGAGAGUGUUUUUUUUCAGAAAUACUAUUCUUUUUUUAGUUUCAUUUAGUUCUUUUUAAUUUUCUGCCUAUUUGAAGGCAGAUUAGGCAGACUCUUAGGGGUGUUUUUUUUGUUUGUUUUUGUUUCCUAUAGUUCUUUUUAUUUUUUUGCCUGUUUUAAGUUUUUCUUUCAGAAAUACUGUUUUUUUCCUUUUUUAUUUUCUUUAGUUUUUUUUUAAUUUUCUUCCUAUUUUAAGUUUUUUUUGUUUAAGUUUUAUUUAGUUUUUUUCAGUUUUCAGUCUGCUUUAAGGGUGUUUUAAGUUUUAAAUUUAAUUUAAAUUUUUGAAACAUAUUUAUUUAUUUGUGCAAAAUACCUGGUAUAGGGUUUUUUUUAUUUGUUUUUUUUUUUUAAGAAAAACUUUUUUUUUCGUUUUCUUUAUUUUUUUUCCAGUUUUCUGUCUCAUUGAAUGUUUUUUUUGUUUUGUUUCCUUAGUUUUGUUUUUUCAGUUUUCUGCCAUUUUAAGGAUGUUUUUUUUCUUUUUUUUCAUGUAUAUGAUUUUUUUUAGUUUUCUUUAUUUUCUUUCCAUUUUCUGCCUGUUUUAGGGGUUUCCUUUUUUUUUCCGGCAAAACACCCAGUGAAUUGUUUUUUUUUUGUUUUUGUUUUUCUGAAACACUAUUCUUUAUUUUUUAGUUUUCUUUAGUUGUUUUUUUCUGCAAAAUACACAGUUAAGGUUUUUUUUCCAGAAAUACUAUUCUUUUUUCCUUUUUUUGUAGUUUUUUUUUAUGUUUCUGCCUGUUUUAAGGUUUUUUUUUUAGGGUUUUUUUUUUUAGUUGUUUUUUUUUGCAAAAUACACAGUUAAGGUUUUUUUUCCAGUUAAGGUUUUUUUUUCCAGAAAAACUAUUAAUUUUCUUUUUUCUUUCGUUUUCUCUAUUUUUUUUCCAGUUUUCGGCCUAUUUUUAAGGUUUUUUUAAGGUUAUUUAUAUAUACUGUAUUUAUUCAUAAUACAGAAAUACUUUUCUUUUUGUUUUUUGUUUUUGUUUUUCAGAAACAAUUUUCUUUAGUUUUUUCUGCCUGUUUUAAUUUUUUUGAGUUUUUUCUGUUUUUUUCAGAUAUACUAUUCUUUUUCUUUUUUUAGUUUUCUUUAGUUUUUUUAUGUUUCUACCUGUUUUAAGUUUUUUGUUGUUGUUUUGUUUAAGUUUUUUUAAAGUUGUUUUUAUUUUCAGAAAUACUAUUCUUUUUCUUUUUUUUAGUUUCCUGUUAUGACUGGGGUCAUAAUUGGUUGAGUGUCUGCUGGGUGUGUGUGCUCUGUGUUUUCUCUGCGUCAAUCUUGUAUGCAAAUAGGUGUGUGCCACAGCAACGCGGUCAUUGGUGGGAUGGACUACGCCCUGUAUGGUGAUUGGCCGAGACCAGCUAUAUUGAGAACCAAGAUGGCAGCCACCAUGUGCAGAGGCCAGGCGUUCCUCAUCCUCCUCCUCUCCCAACCGGCCACCCUAUUUUGCAGCUUAAAGACUAUGGUGUAUUGUGUUCUGUUUUCCUUCAGUAGUAGGGGUGGACUGCCAGUUUUGUUAACAUUAUUUUCUCCUGUGUAUUUUAGUUAGGGAGGUAAGUCUUUUGUCAUUUGUUUCCUUUGUUUUGGUUAGGGAAGGACUUACUACUCAGACAGGAUUAUUUUUGGUUGUUGUUUUGGCCUUGGUCCACCCUGAAGUCUAGUUAUCCAGCCUUAGUUCUUUUGUCUAUCUUUUGUUAUUUACUGAUUUAUACAAAUAAAUCUUUAUCUUUAACUUUAACUGGAUCUCGGUUGUUGUGGCUACUUGGGACUUGGGGAUGAUGAGGCCUUCUCAUGUUGUGCCCUAGGCACCCCUAGACUGGGGCGUAACAUGAAUUGGGGGCUCGUCCGUCUUCUUGUCGCGUUUCUUCGGUGAGUAUGUGUUUUUCUGGUUGGUAGUUUUUUUUGUGUGUGGGGGGAAUUAUGGAUUUUUCACUGGAUGAUUUUAUGGCCAGUCCCUCUUUUGCAAAAAUUGAAAAAUGUAAAAAAGCAGACCUGUUGAUUGUGGCAAAUUUCUUUAAUGUAAAAGUACCAUACAAUGUCAACAAAGCAGAGCUCAAACAGUUGCUGUGUGCACAGUUGGUGGAGCAGGGCGUCUUACCUAAACCAGCGCUUGAUGCGGUUGCUGCGGGUGAUGUGGCUAGUGUCGCACCGGGGGCUGAGGUGAAAGCGGCGGGGGCUGCUGGCACGCUCGCUGCUGGUGCGGAACUUGGGCCGGUCACGGAUCCUCUCAUGGGUACCAUGACCACAGAGGAUCUCCGCAUAGCACUCCAAAUAAAGGAGGCAGAGACCCGAAACAAACAGCUAGAGGUACAAGCAAAGGAGGCCGAGACCCGAAACUUGCAUCUACGCUUAAGGGUUCUCGAGCUGGAAAAAGGAGCCUUUGCAGCCUCUACCCCAGUGUCUCCUGUUGACCGCAGCUCUGUUUCUGCUCCCGCUUUUGACAUAAGUAAGCACAUUGCUUUAGUCCCUCCGUUUCGUGAGUCCGAGGUGGACUCGUAUUUUAGCGCUUUCGAGCGGAUAGCUGCUGCCCUUAGUUGGCCUAAAGAGUUCUGGUCCCUUCUCCUCCAGUGUAAAUUAGUGGGGAAAGCUCAAGAAGUCUGUGCCAGUCUGUCUAUCGAGGAUAGUCUUGAUUAUAAAAUCUUGAAAAAGACUGUGUUGCAGGCCUACGAGCUGGUCCCUGAAGCCUAUCGGCAAAAAUUUAGAAAUAGUGAGAAAACUUCCAACCAGACCUAUGUUGAAUUUGUGCGUGACAAGAGCGUUCUGUUUGAUAAAUGGUGCCACGCGUGUAAUAUUAAAACUAUGGCGGAAAUGAGAGAGCUCAUUUUGCUCGAGGAAUUUAAAAAGUGUUUGCCGGAGCGAAUUGUCGUAUAUUUGAAUGAGCAAAAGGAGUCAUCGGUAACGAAAGCAGCUGUGCUCGCCGAUGAGUUCAUUUUGACUCAUAAAAGCGUUUUUUCUUUGCCAACCCCUCGUGUUUUACAUCCAAUGUCUGAGCGCAGAAACCGAUCGCCAAAGCUGAUGCGUAAAAGCACCUCACCAGCUGCGGGUGAGAGCCGCGAGUGUUUUUAUUGCCACAUUCCUUUAAUCCUUUUUUAUAUUUCUGCCUGUUUUAAUUUUUUUUAUAUAUUUUUUAAGGUUUUUAUUUUACAGAAAUACCAUUAUUUUUUCUUUUUUUUUAGUUUUCUUAAUUUUUUUUCCAGUUUUCUGCCCAUUUUAGGGUUUUUUGUUUAAGUUAUCUUUAAUUUUUUCAGUUUUCUGCCUGCUUUAAGGUUUUUUUUUCUUUUUCUUUUUUUGGCAUUUUUUUUAGAUAUAUGAGUUUUUUUUAUCAGUUUUCUGCCCUUUUAAAGGUAUAUAUAUAUAUAUAUAUAUAUAUAUAUAUAUAUAUAUAUAUAUAUAUACACAUUAUAUAUAUAUAUGUAUAUAUAUAACAUAUAUAUACACAUACAUAUACAUAUGUAUAUAGGUUUUCUGCCUAUUUUAGGGUUUUCUGUUUAAGUUUUCUUUAGUUUUUUUCAGUUUUCUGCCUGUUUCAAGGUUGUUGUUUUUUUCAGAAAUACUAUUCCUGUCCUUUUUUUCUAUUUUUUCGCCUGUUUUAAGGUUUUGUUUUAAGUUUUUUUUCUUUUUUUUUCAGAAAU
rnacentral:lncRNA from 1 species